UACGGAGGGGGCUAGCGUUGUUCGGAAUUACUGGGCGUAAAGCGCGCGUAGGCGGCUUUGUAAGUUAGAGGUGAAAGCCCGGAGCUCAACUCCGGAACUGCCUUUAAGACUGCAUCGCUAGAAUUGUGGAGAGGUGAGUGGAACUGCGAGUGUAGAGGUGAAAUUCGUAGAUAUUCGCAAGAACACCAGUGGCGAAGGCGAGUCUCUGGACAUUUCCUGACGCUGAGGCACGAAAGCCAGGGGAGCAAACGGG
rnacentral:rRNA from 1 species